UUAUAAGAGACAGCAGCCGCCGCGGGAAUACGAAGGGUGCAAGCGUUAAUCGGAAUUACUGGGCGUAAAGCGUGCGUAGGCGGUUUGUUAAGUCUGCUGUGAAAUCCCCGGGCUCAACCUGGGAAUGGCAGUGGAUACUGGCAAGCUAGAGUGUGUCAGAGGAUGGUGGAAUUCCCGGUGUAGCGGUGAAAUGCGUAGAGAUCGGGAGGAACAUCAGUGGCGAAGGCGGCCAUCUGGGACAACACUGACGCUGAGGCACGAAAGCGUGGGGAGCAAACAGGAUUAGAUACCCCUGUAGUCCCUGUCUCUUAUAC
rnacentral:rRNA from 1 species